GGACGAACGCUGGCGGCGUGCUUAACACAUGCAAGUCGAACGGAAAGGCCCUGCUUGCAGGGUACUCGAGUGGCGAACGGGUGAGUAACACGUGGGUGAUCUGCCCUGCACUUCGGGAUAAGCCUGGGAAACUGGGUCUAAUACCGGAUAGGAGCCAUUUUUAGUGUGAUGGUUGGAAAGUUUUUUCGGUGUAGGAUGAGCUCGCGGCCUAUCAGCUUGUUGGUGGGGUAAUGGCCUACCAAGGCGGCGACGGGUAGCCGGCCUGAGAGGGUGGACGGCCACAUUGGGACUGAGAUACGGCCCAGACUCCUACGGGAGGCAGCAGUGGGGAAUAUUGCACAAUGGGCGCAAGCCUGAUGCAGCGACGCCGCGUGGGGAUGACGGCCUUCGGGUUGUAAACUCCUUUCGCUAGGGACGAAGCUUUUUGUGACGGUACCUAGAUAAGAAGCACCGGCUAACUACGUG
rnacentral:rRNA from 1 species